UACGUAGGGGGCAAGCGUUGUCCGGAUUUAUUGGGCGUAAAGAGCGUGUAGGCGGCCACACAGGUCUGCUGUGAAAACUCGAGGCUCAACCUCGAGCUGUCGGUGGAAACCGUGUGGCUAGAGUCCGGAAGAGGAGAGUGGAAUUCCCGGUGUAGCGGUGAAAUGCGCAGAUAUCGGGAAGAACACCCGUGGCGAAGGCGGCUCUCUGGGACGGUACUGACGCUGAGUGAGCGAAAGCCAGGGGAGCAAACGGG
rnacentral:rRNA from 1 species